CCUACGGGCGGCUGCAGUGGGGAAUUUUGGACAAUGGGGGCAACCCUGAUCCAGCCAUUCCGCGUGAGUGAAGAAGGCCUUCGGGUUGUAAAGCUCUUUUGUCCGGAGCGAAACGGGCGGCCCUAAUACGGUCGUCUACUGACGGUACCGGAAGAAUAAGCACCGGCUAACUACGUGCCAGCAGCCGCGGUAAUACGUAGGGUGCGAGCGUUAAUCGGAGCGACUGGGCGUAAAUUUUGAACCGGCGGUUGAAAUCCCCGGGCUCAACCUGGGAAUGGCAUUUGUGACUGCAAGGCUGGAGUGUGGCAGAGGGGACUAGAAUUCCUGGUGUAGCAGUGAAAUGCGUAGAUAUCAGGAGGAAUACCGAUGGCGAAGGCAGGUCCCUGGGUUAACACUGACGCUCAUGCACGAAAGCGUGGGGAGCAAACAGGAUUAGAUACCCCAGUAGUC
rnacentral:rRNA from 1 species